rnacentral:rRNA from 1 species
UACAGAAGUCUCAAGCGUUGUUCGGAUUCAUUGGGCGUAAAGGGUGCGUAGGCGGCGCGGUAAGUCGGGUGUGAAAUCUCGGAGCUUAACUCCGAAACUGCAUUCGAUACUGCCGUGCUUGAGGACUGGAGAGGAGACUGGAAUUUACGGUGUAGCAGUGAAAUGCGUAGAGAUCGUAAGGAAGACCAGUGGCGAAGGCGAGUUUCUGGACAGUUACUGACGCUGAGGCACGAAGGCCAGGGGAGCAAACGGG